GAUGAACGCUGGCGGCGUGCUUAACACAUGCAAGUCGAACGGAAAGACCCUGCUUUUGUGGGGUGAUCGAGUGGGGAACGGGUGAGUAACACGUGUGUAUCCUGCCCUUGUCUUUGGGGUAACUUCAGGAAAAUGGGGCUAAUAUCGGAUAGGAGAUCCUGCUGCGUGGUGGGGGUUGGAAAGUUUCGGCGGUUGGGGAUGGACUCGCGGCUUACGAGCUUGUUGGUGGGGUAGUGGCUUACCAAGGCUUUGAAGGGUAGCCGGCAUGGGAGGGUGGACGGCGACCAGACUACUGAGGGACGGCGCAGACGCGUAUGGUAGGCAGUGGGGGGGAGUAUGACACAGUGGGCCGGAGCGUGAGACGGAGACCCCGCGUUCGUGAAGACCGCCUUCGGGGUAAGAACCGCUGUCGCCUGUGACGAAGCGGGAGUGACGGUAAUGGAUAAAGAAGCACCGGCUAACUACGUG
rnacentral:rRNA from 1 species